rnacentral:rRNA from 1 species
AUUGAACGCUGGCGGCAUGCUUUACACAUGCAAGUCGAACGGCAGCGCGGGGCAACCUGGCGGCGAGUGGCGAACGGGUGAGUAAUAUAUCGGAACGUACCCAGAAGUGGGGGAUAACGUAGCGAAAGUUACGCUAAUACCGCAUACGAUCUACGGAUGAAAGUAGGGGACCGCAAGGCCUUAUGCUUUUGGAGCGGCCGAUAUCUGAUUAGCUAGUUGGUGAGGUAAAGGCUCACCAAGGCGACGAUCAGUAGCUGGUCUGAGAGGACGAUCAGCCACACUGGAACUGAGACACGGUCCAGACUCCUACGGGAGGCAGCAGUGGGGAAUUUUGGACAAUGGGCGCAAGCCUGAUCCAGCAAUGCCGCGUGAGUGAAGAAGGCCUUCGGGUUGUAAAGCUCUUUUGUCAGGGAAGAAACGGUAGAGGCUAAUAUCCUUUGCUAAUGACGGUACCUGAAGAAUAAGCACCGGCUAACUACGUG